GCCAGACUCCUACGGGAGGCAGCAGUGGGGAAUAUUGCACAAUGGGGGAAACCCUGAUGCAGCGACGCCGCGUGAGUGAAGAAGUAUUUCGGUAUGUAAAGCUCUAUCAGCAGGGAAGAAAAUGACGGUACCUGACUAAGAAGCCCCGGCUAACUACGUGCCAGCAGCCGCGGUAAUACGUAGGGGGCAAGCGUUAUCCGGAUUUACUGGGUGUAAAGGGAGCGUAGACGGCAUGGCAAGUCAGAUGUGAAAGCCCGGGGCUCAACCCCGGGACUGCUCUUGGAACUGCGUGGCUGGAGUGCAGGAGGGGCAGGCGGAAUUCCUGGUGUAGCGGUGAAAUGCGUAGAUAUCAGGAGGAACACCGGUGGCGAAGGCGGCCUGCUGGACUGCAACUGACGUUGAGGCCCGAAAGCGUGGGGAGCAAACAGGAUUAGAUACCCCGGUAC
rnacentral:rRNA from 1 species